rnacentral:rRNA from 1 species
GAUGAACGCUGGCGGCGUGCUUAACACAUGCAAGUCGAACGGAGAACACGGAGCUUGCUCUGUGGGAUCAGUGGCGAACGGGUGAGUAACACGUGAGCAACCUGCCCCUGACUCUGGGAUAAGCGCUGGAAACGGCGUCUAAUACUGGAUAUGUGACGUGACCGCAUGGUCUGCGUUUGGAAAGAUUUUUCGGUUGGGGAUGGGCUCGCGGCCUAUCAGCUUGUUGGUGAGGUAAUGGCUCACCAAGGCGUCGACGGGUAGCCGGCCUGAGAGGGUGACCGGCCACACUGGGACUGAGACACGGCCCAGACUCCUACGGGAGGCAGCAGUGGGGAAUAUUGCACAAUGGGCGCAAGCCUGAUGCAGCAACGCCGCGUGAGGGAUGACGGCCUUCGGGUUGUAAACCUCUUUUAGCAGGGAAGAAGCGAAAGUGACGGUACCUGCAGAAAAAGCGCCGGCUAACUACGUG